GUUUCAGUCAUCUAUUAUAGAUGUGGGAACGUGAAGCUUCUCAAAGGUCAAAUGGUGAAAAAUGCCAUAGUCGAUUGCAGGUUGAGUCUCUCCCAUUUCUGAGAGGACUCAUCACACCUAAUUUGAGUAAUUUCCUUUUCAAUUUCCUGGGCCAUUUUAUUUUACCUCUGGCUGCCCCUUGGAUGAGUGCAGUUUCCUUUGCUGUGAUAAAACACCAUCCCAAAAGCAACUAGGAGAGAAGGGUGUGUGUCAUCUUACAGCUUGUAAACCAUCAUCCAGGAAAGGCAGGGAAGGAACUCAAGGCAGGUACCUAGAGAAAGCACUUGAAGCAAUUAGAAGAUUGAAUCAUUACCACUGCUGGGUUGAUAAUCAUUUCUCAGGCUGUCUUUUGGCAAAGAGCAAGCUACAUUUUACAUUGCUUGAGUCACAAUGGUCAGUCUUCUCAAACGGAAGACUUCAAGGAAAAAGAAACUUGGAGUAAGAUGAAAGAAGAAAGAGGAAAGACAAGAAAUCAAGAACUCCAAAGGUCACAAGGCAGGAACAUAAGAAAAGAAAUAAAAUUUUUCUCUUUGUAUUAAAAUUUUUAAUAUUAUAAUGUAAUAAUUAUACUAUAAAUAUCAGGGAACAUCUCUAUUGUCAGCCUCGUCUUUUUGGUGGGCAUGUGAGUUGUCAAAAGAUCAGCUUCCAUACUGGGCAAUGCAUUAUGGCUUACAUAAAGUUUUAUUUAUGUAGAAAAUACUCUGUUAAGUAUUGCAGUAUGGAAGGCUUAUUACUGAUGGGUCAAGAAUAAAACUGAUCCCCAAUAUGGAAA
rnacentral:lncRNA from 1 species